AAUUCGAUUGAGUUUGAUCCUGGCUCAGAACGAACGCUGGCGGCAGGCCUAACACAUGCAAGUCGAACGCCGUAGCAAUACGGAGUGGCAGACGGGUGAGUAACGCGUGGGAACAUACCCCUCGGUUCGGAAUAACUCAGGGAAACUUGAGCUAAUACCGGAUACGUCCGAGGUUUUAAUCGACCUUGGAGAAAGAUUUAUCGCCGGAGGAUUGGCCCGCGUCUGAUUAGCUUGUUGGUGAGGUAAUGGCUCACCAAGGCGACGAUCAGUAGCUGGUCUGAGAGGAUGAUCAGCCACAUUGGGACUGAGACACGGCCCAAACUCCUACGGGAGGCAGCAGUGGGGAAUAUUGGACAAUGGGCGAAAGCCUGAUCCAGCCAUGCCGCGUGAGUGAUGAAGGCCUUAGGGUUGUAAAGCUCUUUUACCCGGGAAGAUAAUGACGGUACCGGGAGAAUAAGCCCCGGCUAACUUCGUGCCAGCAGCCGCGGUAAUACGAAGGGGGCUAGCGUUGUUCGGAAUUACUGGGCGUAAAGCGCACGUAGGCGGAUCUUUAAGUCAGGGGUGAAAUCCCGAGGCUCAACCUCGGAACUGCCUUUGAUACUGGGGAUAUCGAGUCCGGGAGAGGUGAGUGGAACUGCGAGUGUAGAGGUGAAAUUCGUAGAUAUUCGCAAGAACACCAGUGGCGAAG
rnacentral:rRNA from 1 species